rnacentral:rRNA from 1 species
UACGUAGGGGGCAAGCGUUGUCCGGAAUCAUUGGGCGUAAAGAGCGUGUAGGCGGCUUGCUAAGUCUUGCGUGAAAUCUCGGGGCUCAACCCCGAGCGGUCGUGGGAAACUGGCAGGCUAGAGUGCGGGAGAGGAGAAUGGAAUUCCUGGUGUAGCGGUGAAAUGCGCAGAUAUCAGGAGGAACACCGGUGGCGAAGGCGGGUCUCUGGGCAGUAACUGACGCUGAGGAGCGAAAGCGUGGGGAGCGAACAGG